rnacentral:rRNA from 1 species
AUACGGAGGGUGCAAGCGUUACUCGGAAUCACUGGGCGUAAAGCGCGCGCAGGCGGGCUGAUAAGUUGGAUGUGAAAGCCUACGGCUCAACCGUAGAACUGCAUCCAAAACUGUCAGUCUAGAGUGUGGGAGAGGAAGAUGGAAUUAGUUGUGUAGGGGUAAAAUCCGUAGAGAUAACUAGGAAUACCAAAAGCGAAGGCAAUCUUCUGGAACACUACUGACGCUGAGGCGCGAAGGCGUGGGGAGCAAACAGGAGUAGAUACCCCUGUAGUCC